rnacentral:lncRNA from 1 species
AAUUUUUAAGAAGAAAAUAACAAUCGAUUAUAGGACCACAUCUUGAAGGACAUUUACCCAAAGCUUCACUGCUCUGAAGCAUGCUCAAAGGGAGGUCAUGGGAGCAGGGUGCUCCUUGGAAAUGUUUAGACAAAUCUGGGUGGCAGGUUGGGGACACAGCUGGAUGAGCUCAUAGGUAAAACAAGAUGAAGAUUGUAGAUGGGAUUCAUCUAUUAAUGCAUCUGUAAGGAGCUUCCCCCAGACAGGAUCAGAGAAAAACACUGGAGGCUCAUAUUUUGCAAACUGCAGUCAUUCCUUCAAGAAGUCAUUAUGGAGUACAUUCUGGGUGCCAGGCACUGAGCUAAACACAAGAGGAAUUAUGGGAGUAAAACAAGUGAUCCCUGCCCUCAUGGACAUUAGGGUCUGGCAGUAUGUUAAGGUGAUGGGUGAUCAACUAGUUUUAAACUCCAGGAGGAUCAGGAAUUAACUUCUCCCUCCUUUGAAUAGAUUUGGAGUCUUAUGAAUUGGGGUUAAAUCUGGCCUCCUUCCUCUUUGUGUUAAAGAAGUUGCACAUCUGUAGUCAGGUUGCUGCUUCUAUUAUAGCAGAGGUACUUCCCUUACCCUGAGAUGUGGAUUCACUUAGUCUGGGGUGGGUCCCAGGCAUGGAUACUGUUAAAGCUCCCUUGGUGAUUCUGAUAUGCAGCCAGCAUAGAGAAGCACUGCUUCAAAGUAAGCAUUGUUUUAUUGGUGCAUUCACUGGUUUGCUUAUCAAAUAUUUAUUGAGCACAUACUAUAGGCCAAGCCAGAUAUAGGUACAGGAAUCCCCAGCACCCAAAAAAGUGAUGAGUCCAUGAUGGAAACUAUUCAUGGAAGGAAGGAGGGAAAGAAGGAAGGAGGGAGGGAGGGAGAGAGGGAAGAGGGAGGGACAAAGGAAGGAAAAAAGAAAAAGAAAAGAAGGAAAGAGAAGAAAGAGGGAAGAAGGGAGGGAGGACUCAUCCUGCACUUCUUCUAUCGCCCUGCCCCUGUCACACCUGUCCUCCUGUCCUCUCACCUCCCAUUUCCCCUCAGGAGUCUCAGGAAGCAGGAGUUUGUGCCACUUCCACAGCACAAACACAACAGAGAGAACGGGGCUAUUUCAAGCACAAUGCUUAAGCACCCUGGGCAAAGGAAACCAGAAUCUUGGUGCUGAAAAUGGGUCACCCCCAAAAAGAUACAAUUACCUUUCUUGCCCCAAAUUGAACCCAAAUACAUUGCAAAUGGAAGCCACUGGGAUCUGAGAAGCUAAGUGCCUUGAUGGUAAACGGUCAUGUGACAAUCUCCUGAUGCCAAGUUGGUGUCCUUUCCAUGGUGCCCUGUGCCCUCGACCUUUUCUGUUAUGAGAACCAUGAUUGCCACCAGUUCUGAGCACUUCCUCCCUGCUGGGCACUGUGCUAAGAGUGCCCUAUGCUGUUUCAUCCUUACCUAGAGGCAGGCCAUAUUACUCCCCUCUAGGGUUGAGGGGAGUUUUCUCUAGCUUAGAGAAAACUCAUCUAGGAAGUGCAGAACCCACAUGAGAAGCUGGGUCAUCCUGGGAGGAGCCAGGGGGAACGUGCUUUCUUUUACACCAAGUCAGUCAGAAUGUUUAUUGCAUAAUCAUUUCUCCCUUUAGAGAGGGUCUGUGUCUUCUUUAUCUUUGGAUUCCCAGCUCUUUGCACCCUGUCUGGCCACACACAGGCACUGACUAAGUUCUUAAAAUGGCAGAACAUAACUAGCACUUACCACUAUUGAUAAGUAUAUAUUCAUAAGGUGUUUGCUUAAUGCCUAUCUCUAUCACCAGCCUUAAGCCCACAAGGGCAGCGACUGGCUCUGUUUUCUGCAUCUUGUACCUCCAGCAUCCACCCUCUAGGCCCUCAGCAAGCAGCUUUUGAGUAGAUGGAUGCUUGGCUCCGUGGAGAUUUGGGGCACAAAGUCAGAACACUGUGAGUACCUGGUGGUAAUAGCUGCCUUCAGAUCACCAGAGAAAAGGAAGCUACCCCAGAAGACAAGCCGAGACCCCGAGAGGAACAAGACCCUGCAGUAGUUAGGUAAGAAAUAAGGACCAGAGGCAGAAGGGGCUUCCCUGCCUCCAUUUUCAGAUGGGGCUUCUUGGAAGCUCUGCCACAGCUUGUCAGCAACACUCACCCAGACCAGGCAGUUAACCAGGAACCAGAUUAGCUGGGAACCAGCUGUGAGGUCCAAUGUGCUCAACUACAACUCAAGAUGCCGGCAGCCCACGUAUGGAGCUCGUGGCCUGGGCUGCUCAUCCUGUUCCCCAGUAAACAAAGGCCAAGUCCAGCACUCCCCGGCCCCGUGAUCAGACGCCCCAUGGUUGUGUUUCAUGUUCUUUGCCCUGUAUUCACCCAGUUUCAAGGUUGGACUCAAAUCCAUCAGGAGAGGCAAAAACACUGAAAGACGGGCAUGCUGUCAUUGUCCUUUCCACCGAGGUCACAGUGCAUGA